GAGGAAGUAAAAGUCGUAACAAGGUUUCCGUAGGUGAACCUGCGGAAGGAUCAUUAAAUGAAGCAACCUAGGAGCCUGAGAUAUGGCCACCGGGCACACCUUCCACCCUUUGUUUAUCACACUUUGUUGCUUUGGCAGGCCUGCCUUCGGGCUGCUGGCUCCGGCCGGCGAGCGCCUGCCAGAGGACCCAAACUCUGUUUGUCUGUAACGUCUGAGUACUAUAUAAUAGUUAAAACUUUCAACAACGGAUCUCUUGGUUCUGGCAUCGAUGAAGAACGCAGCGAAAUGCGAUAAGUAAUGUGAAUUGCAGAAUUCAGUGAAUCAUCGAAUCUUUGAACGCACAUUGCGCCCCCUGGUAUUCCGGGGGGCAUGCCUGUCCGAGCGUCAUUACAACCCUCAAGCCUAGCUUGGUGUUGGGCUCCGCCGCCUGGCGGGCCCUAAAGUCAGUGGCGGUGCCGUCCAGCUCCGAGCGUAGUAACUCUUCUCGCUCUGGAGGCCUGGGCGCGUGCUUGCCAGCAACCCCCCAAUUUUAUCAGGUUGACCUCGGAUCAGGUAGGGAUACCCGCUGAACUUAAGCAUAUCAAUA
rnacentral:rRNA from 1 species